rnacentral:rRNA from 1 species
AGAGUUUGAUCAUGGCUCAGGAUGAACGCUGGCGGCGUGCCUAAUACAUGCAAGUCGAGCGGUAAGGCUCCUACAGGUUAUUUGAUCGAGCUAGGUCGCAAAACUUCGAAGAAGUUUUGCAUCACAACUACGACGGAACGAUGGCUAUCGUUCCUGAAGAAUCGUGAAGCACCUGGAGCAAACCUUCUCGUCGAGAAGGUGAAGUUCAAAUAACGUGUUGGAGUACACGAGCGGCGGACGGCUGAGUAACACGUAGGAACGUACCCCAAAGUGAGGCAUAAGCACCAGAAAUGGUGUCUAAUACCGCAUGUGGCCUUCGGGCUAAAGCUCCGGCGCUUUGGGAACGGCCUGCGCAUGAUUAGCUUGUUGGUGAGGUAAUAGCUCACCAAGGCGACGAUCAUUAGCUGGUCUGAGAGGAUGAUCAGCCAGACUGGGACUGAGAACGGCCCAGACUCCUACGGGAGGCAGCAGUAGGGAAUUUUCCACAAUGGGCGAAAGCCUGAUGGAGCAACGCCGCGUGCAGGAUGAAGGCUCUCGGGUCGUAAACUGCUUUUAUAUGUGACGAAUAUGACGGUAGCAUAUGAAUAAGGAUCGGCUAACUCCGUGCCAGCAGCCGCGGUCAUACGGAGGAUCCAAGCGUUAUCCGGAAUUACUGGGCGUAAAGAGUUGCGUAGGUGGCAUUGUAAGUUGGUAGUGAAAGCGUUCGGCUCAACCGAAUAAACAUUAUCAAAACUGCAAAGCUAGAGGAUGAGAGAGGUUAUUGGAAUUCCUGAUGUAGGGGUAAAAUCCGUUGAUAUUAGGAGGAACACCGAUGGCGUAGGCAGAUAACUGGCUCAUUCCUGACACUAAGGCACGAAAGCGUGGGUAGCAAACAGGAUUAGAUACCCUGGUAGUCCACGCUGUAAACGAUGGAUGCUAGCUGUGCUCGGUAUCGACCCCGAACGUAGCGAAGCUAACGCGUUAAGCAUCCCGCCUGUGGAGUACGGUCGCAAGACUAAAACAUAAAGGAAUUGACGGGGACCCGCACAAGCGGUGGAGCGUGUUGUUUAAUUCGAUGGUAAGCGAAGAACCUUACCCAGGUUUGACAUCCUUGGAAUUUUGCCGAAAGGCGAGAGUGCUUUAUUGAGCCAAGUGACAGGUGAUGCAUGGCCGUCGUCAGCUCGUGUCGUGAGAUGUUUGGUUAAGUCCAUCAACGAGCGCAACCCUUGUGAUUAGUUGAAUUUUUCUAAUCAGACUGCCCUGGUAACAGGGAGGAAGGAGGGGAUGAUGUCAGGUCCGUAUUUCCCUUAUAUCUGGGGCUACAAACACGCUACAAUGGCCGGUACAAAGGGCAGCCAAGUCGCAAGACGGAGCAAAUCCCAUCAAAGCCGGUCCCAGUUCGGAUAGCAGGCUGAAACUCGCCUGCUUGAAGUCGGAAUCGCUAGUAACGGUAGGUCAGCUAUACUACCGUGAAUACGUUCCCGGGUCUUGUACACACCGCCCGUCAAACCGUGAAAGUCGCCAAUACCUGACGUGCUCGCUUGCCGAGCCCUAAGGUAGGGGAGAUGAUUGGGGUUAAGUCGUAACAAGGUAACC